GUUUAGCAUUGGACAGCGAUCGAUACGAAGACCUUUAAUCAGAGGCAUUGCACUUGCGGCUAAAUGCCAUCUUUCUAGGUUGUGAAGACUACGAAGACCAAGGAACUCCAGAUGACUGAAGCUGUUAUCACUGCAGGAUUACUGGAUUAAAAGAAGAAACUAAAGCUUCUUCAACAACUAGAGCUGGAAAAAAAUCUGGAGAAAGAGAUAAAAUUAAGAUCCAGUUGAAGAAACUGAAGCAGCUGAUUGUGAGUUUUGUUGCAUAAUCGUAGAUAUUGGCAAGAAUUAUCCAAGUGUUACUGCUUCGUCAGCACUUUAUGCAAGAUCAGAGGCGUAUCUAGUAUUCUAGGUAAGAGUUCAAUUGAACCCCUAACUUUCGACACAAACCAUAAAUUUAUGUGUAAAAAUUACUAAAAUUGUAAAUAAAUAUUAGUAGAUAUGAAAUCAGAACUUUAAAAUUAUAAUAGGUACAAUGCUAAGAAUCUUAAGAUUGAAUCCAAAGAGUUUAAAUCUUAAAUUCUCCUCUGUGGACGAUUACCAAGGGAAUGAAUUUUUUGAUGAUGGAAGUGUGCAUUCACAUAAUAUUCGUUGUCAUACAUGGUGUAUUAAAGUUUUAAAAUUAUUUGAUCAAAAUCUCUAGUAUUAUUAGUGGUAAUUCUAGCGAUUAUAUUUCUAUGAAAGUGGUUGUUACAAUAUUAUCAAAAAAGAAGAAGAUAUAUGUCAUCGAGGGACAGAGGUGGAGUCUGGAUUUAAAGUUUAUCGGUUCUGAAUUCUGAUAUAUUCUUAAGUUACUGGGUUCUGAAGUAAUAAGUUAUAUAUAUUUAACAGAUUUUCAAUACAAAUACAGGAUUUUGGCCGAAGUGAAUGAGUUCAACCGAACCUGUAGUCAGGAGGUUAGCUCCCCCUGUAGAGGGGUAAUUUUACAAAGAAUGUAUUGUUAUAAAGAUAAAUAUAUAUCGUUGUUAUAGGUAAAAAGAUGUCACAGAGCUAGAGGUAUAUAUGUAUAUGUAUUACUAUAUAAUAUAAGAGCAAAUGUGAGAGACUUUUGUAGUCCUCACAAUAAUUUCCCAAUUUUUUAAAAACUUUU